rnacentral:rRNA from 1 species
UUCCCAGACUCCUACGGGAGGCAGCAGUGGGGAAUAUUGCACAAUGGGGGAAACCCUGAUGCAGCGACGCCGCGUGAGCGAUGAAGUAUUUCGGUAUGUAAAGCUCUAUCAGCAGGGAAGAAGAUGACGGUACCUGACUAAGAAGCCCCGGCUAACUACGUGCCAGCAGCCGCGGUAAUACGUAGGGGGCAAGCGUUAUCCGGAUUUACUGGGUGUAAAGGGAGCGUAGACGGCGAUGCAAGCCAGAUGUGAAAGCCCGGGGCUCAACCCCGGGACUGCAUUUGAAACUGUCAGGCUGGAGUGCAGGAGAGGUAAGUGGAAUUCCUAGUGUAGCGGUGAAAUGCGUAGAUAUUAGGAGGAACACCGGUGGCGAAGGCGGCCUGCUGGACUGCAACUGACGUUGAGGCCCGAAAGCGUGGGGAGCAAACAGGAUUAGAUACCCCCGUAAA